rnacentral:rRNA from 1 species
GACGAACGCUGGCGGCGUGCUUAACACAUGCAAGUCGAACGGAAAGGCCCUGCUUUUGUGGGGUGCUCGAGUGGCGAACGGGUGAGUAACACGUGAGUAACCUGCCCUUGACUUUGGGAUAACUUCAGGAAACUGGGGCUAAUACCGGAUAGGAGCUCUUGCUGCAUGGUGGGGGUUGGAAAGUUUCGGCGGUUGGGGAUGGACUCGCGGCUUAUCAGCUUGUUGGUGGGGUAGUGGCUUACCAAGGCUUUGACGGGUAGCCGGCCUGAGAGGGUGACCGGCCACAUUGGGACUGAGAUACGGCCCAGACUCCUACGGGAGGCAGCAGUGGGGAAUAUUGCACAGUGGGCGGAAGCCUGAUGCAGCAACGCCGCGUGCGGGAUGACGGCCUUCGGGUUGUAAACCGCUUUCGCCUGUGACGAAGCGUGAGUGACGGUAAUGGGUAAAGAAGCACCGGCUAACUACGUG